GACAGAGGUGCCAAGCGUUAGGCGGAAUCACUGGGCUUAAAGCGUGUGUAGGCGGUCAUGUAAGUCACUUGUGAAAUCCCACGGCUCAACCGUGGAACUGCUGGGUAUACUGCGAGUCUUGAGCCAUCUAGGGGCUACCGGAACAAAUGGUGGAGCGGUGAAAUGCGUAGAUAUCAUUUGGAACGCCAAAGGUGAAAACAGGUAGCUGGGGAUGUUCUGACGCUGAGACACGAAAGCCAGGGGAGCGAACGGG
rnacentral:rRNA from 1 species